rnacentral:rRNA from 1 species
UUAAGCCAUUGCAUGUCUAAGUAUAAGCAAUUAUACAGCGAAACUGCGAAUGGCUCAUUAAAUCAGUUAUCGUUUAUUUGAUAGUACCUUACUACAUGGAUAACCGUGGUAAUUCUAGAGCUAAUACAUGCUGAAAACCCCGACUUCGGAAGGGGUGUAUUUAUUAGAUUAAAAACCAAUGCCCUCCGGGGCUUACUGGUGAUUCAUGAUAACUUCUCGAAUCGCACGGCCUUGCGCCGGCGAUGGUUCAUUCAAAUUUCUGCCCUAUCAACUUUCGACGGCUGGGUCUUGGCCAGCCGUGGUGACAACGGGUAACGGAGGGUUAGGGCUCGACCCCGGAGAAAACGCCUGAGAAACGGCGUUUACAUCCAAGGAAGGCAGCAGGCGCGCAAAUUACCCAAUGCCGACACGGCGAGGUAGUGACGAGAAAUACUGAUACAGGGCUCUUUUGGGUCUUGUAAUUGGAAUGAGUACAAUUUAAAUCCCUUAACGAGGAACAAUUGGAGGGCAAGUCUGGUGCCAGCAGCCGCGGUAAUUCCAGCUCCAAUAGCGUAUAUUAAAGUUGUUGCAGUUAAAAAGCUCGUAGUUGAACCUUGGGCCUGGCUGGCCGGUCCGCCUCACCGCGUGCACUGGUCCGGCCGGGCCUUUCCCUCUGGGGAACCCCAUGCCCUUCACUGGGCGUGGCGGGGAACCAGGACUUUUACUUUGAAAAAAUUAGAGUGUUCAAAGCAGCCUAUGCUCGAAUACAUUAGCAUGGAAUAAUAGAAUAGGACGUGCGGUUCUAUUUUGUUGGUUUCUAGACCGCCGUAAUGAUUAAUAGGACAGUCGGGGGCGUCAGUAUUCAUUGUCAGAGGUGAAAUUCUUGGAUUUAUUGAGACUAACUACUGCGAAAGCAUUC